UGGACGAAACAGGGGUGCUUCGUGCGCGGGCAGUCGCUGCGGCGAGGCUGAGAGAAACCCUUCGCACCCGAUCCGGGUAAUACCGGCGCGGGAAGUUUUCGGGAAGUAUUU
rnacentral:ncRNA from 1 species